CCCGUGACAGUUUAGAAUUCUUAUUAUGGUGAAUCUCUAUUUCGAGGAGUUUGUUUUUCCUUUAAAAGAAGGCCGUGUCAUCCUUCUUUGGGAAUAGGGUGCGAGUGCUCGAAGGAGGUUCUAGGGGCUCUUGUGCGGGUUUGCUUCCUGGCUUUCUCCCGCUGGUGCUCUUGUGUGGGUUUGCUCCCUGGCUUUCUCCCGCUGAUAUUCUGUUGGUGUUCUACCUGUCUUCUUCCUUCUCGAUUUCAUGGAUGUCCUGUGCUGAUGAUCGAACGCUUCUUCGGUUGGUAAGGAGGUAUUCAUCUUGAUCAAAUCAGGGACC
rnacentral:lncRNA from 1 species